AAUUGACGGGGGCCCGCACAAGCGGUGGAGCAUGUGGUUUAAUUCGAUGCAACGCGAAGAACCUUACCUGGUCUUGACAUCCACAGAACUUUCCAGAGAUGGAUUGGUGCCUUCGGGAACUGUGAGACAGGUGCUGCAUGGCUGUCGUCAGCUCGUGUUGUGAAAUGUUGGGUUAAGUCCCGCAACGAGCGCAACCCUUAUCCUUUGUUGCCAGCGGUCCGGCCGGGAACUCAAAGGAGACUGCCAGUGAUAAACUGGAGGAAGGUGGGGAUGACGUCAAGUCAUCAUGGCCCUUACGACCAGGGCUACACACGUGCUACAAUGGCGCAUACAAAGAGAAGCGACCUCGCGAGAGCAGGCGGACCUCAUAAAGUGCGUCGUAGUCCGGAUUGGAGUCUGCAACUCGACUCCAUGAAGUCGGAAUCGCUAGCAAUCGUGGAUCAGGAUGCCACGGUGAAUACGUUCCCGGGCCUUGUACACACCGCCCGUCACACCAUGGGAGUGGGUUGCAAAAGAAGUAGGUAGCUUAACCUUCGGGAGGGCGCUUACCACUUUGUGAU
rnacentral:rRNA from 1 species